UCAACCCAGAAACAGUUUUGUUAUUACCAAGUGUGGAAAUACUAUCAAUAUUUUGUCAACAUAUUUAGCAAUGACAAUUUGGGAUAGCAAACCAUUUUAUCGAACAACAAGCUAACAAUCUUUCGGUAAUGGCUGAAAUCGAGAUAUCCCAAUGGAGGUACCACUCAUUAGCUUCCAUUAAACACAUUCAUCGCGCCGAGGAGCUGGUGCUUUGAAAAGUGCAGCGGGAAAAAUGAAAUCACGUCGCGCCACUGCAACAAAUUCAAGUUAAUUGAAUUCCAAACAAAAUCCCUAUAGCAAUUGAAAAUACCCGGUUUACGCAGAGAAAAUCUGAAAAAUAUGAAAACUCCGGGUGUCUAGCAGCUGCCGCCAAACUAGUUCAACUUGUUGUAGUCGUUUUUCGCUGGCUCUGGCGUAAUAACAGGGGCCCAAAUUCAAAUCACACAAUCGCAGUGAAACGAACCUCUCUGCACAGUAAUCAAAACACUCGUGGCAAUAAAAACAACACAAAAACUGAUAUCAAAGAGUGUGGCUGGGGGCUAAAAGCCAAAGGGAAACCAUAACAAAUCAGAGCACUAAUGAAUAUUGAGAGGCCACUAAAAGGAACACGCGGCAGGAGCAACAAAUUAAUAUCGAGGAAAUACCAAAAUUCACAUAAUAAUAAAUGCAACCCGACGAGUAGAAGUAGGGCUAAUAAAGAGCCAGUUAGUACGGGAGUAAGGAGUAAGGAGCAACUUUUCCACCAGGAUAAUGAAGUGGCUUUGUGCGGAGGAGGGGAGGGGGGAAAUGAGGAGAACACCUGCCUAACAACCGAAGGAUCGGAAUGAGACUGGGAUUCAGAGCGAGACAGCGAGAGACUCUGGCCGAAUGAAGGUAAUAAAAAUCGUAUAAAUAACCAAAGCUAAAGACAACAGCGGCAAAAGGACUUACAGAGCGCUUGAAAUAUUAUACCCAUUGAGGGGUGGGUAAACUUGAGGGGGGAUGGGCGAGGGUUGCUCGUUAAUUUGCAAUAAAAUCCGAUUAUAACCACAAAAAUGCGCCCAUACAAGAUAUAUACUCGGCGGUACUUAUGCUCUUAACCAAACCAAACCAAACCGAACUGAACCACAACCCUCGCACAGGUGGAAAUAAAAAGCCCGGAAGUCAA